GAGCUUCCAGCCGCAGCGCGGCGCAGCUCCGGGCUUGCGCUGUAAUGCUCCAGAGUAGGGCGGCUGGGCUUGGAAGACUUCGGGGAGGGGAGGGAUCAGGUCUGAGCGGUUCCAACUCCGGCUAGUGCCGCGCCUUCCCUGGCCUUCUGUCUCCGGUCUCAGCCCUCCAGCCGCCCGUGAGAGUCCCGCGUGGGCCACAACCACGCCCACCUAUCAGACCCGCGGAGAAAGGAAGCCACCAUGCUCCCCAUAUCUGACGUGUUGAGUCAAGAUGAACUGCGCAAAAAGCUGUACCAGACGUUUAAGGAUCGGGGUAUACUGGACUCACUGAAGACGCAACUCCGAAACCAGCUAAUUCACGAGCUGAUGCAGCCUGUGCUGAGUGGCGAAGUGCAGUCCCUCUCCCUGUCAGUGGAAGGGAGCUCCCUCUUAAUACGCGCUUCCAACUCUCUAGUGGCAGAUCACUUACAGAGAUGCGGCUACGAAUGUGCGCUUUCUGUCUUCUUUCCCGAAAGUGGUUUGGCAAAAGAAAAGGUAUUUACUAUGCAGGAUCUAUUACAGCUCAUUAAAAUCAACCCUGAAUCCAGUCUGUACAAAUCACUGAUUUCAGGAUUUGACAAAGAAAACCAAAAAGGUUUUCUCAUGCAGUUUCUGAAAGAAUUGGCAGAAUAUCAUCAGGCUAAAGAGAGUUGCAGUAUGGGAACUCAGACAACUUCAACAUUUCCCGUCAAAGACUCCCUUGCUGAGAAGCUUCAGCUUAUUGACGAUGAGUUUGCAGGUGCUUACCCUCAGCAUCCAAAGUUAGAAUCUUUAGAAAUCAAGUUAAACGAAUAUAAGAGAGAAAUUGAACAGCAGCUACGGGCAGAAAUGAGUCAAAAGCUGAAGUAUUUUAAAGAUACUGAAAUAGCGAAAAUUAAAACGGAAGAGAAAAGAAAGUGUGAGAAGGAAUUAGCUGAGUUGCGGAACGAAUUUGAGAGAGCUUGUCAAGCAAAAUCUGAAGCCCUGAUUUCUCGGGAAAAGAUGACCCUUAAGAGAAUUCAAAAGCACCAGGAGAAUGAAACAAAAGAAAUUUAUACUCAAAGGCAGCUUCUACUAAAAGAUAUAGAUUUGCUGAGAGACAGAGAAGCUGAUCUGAAGCAAAGAAUUGAAGCUUUUGAAUUGGCCCAGAGGCUACAAGAAGAAGAAAACAAAAGCAUGACUGACGGGCUUAGGAGGCGGGAGCUGAAUAUAAAGAGUAUUGAGGAGGCCUAUGACCUAAAGCUCAAGAACGAACUCCUAAAGUAUCAACUUGAACUGAAGGAGGACUGCGUCGCUAGAACUAAUAGAUUCAUCGAAGAUAAGAGGAAGAAUAAAGAAAAAGCUAUACAUUUCCAAGAGGAGAUUGCGACUCUUAAUUUUAAAAAGGAAGAACUGGAUCGUUCUGUAAAUCGUGUGAAAGAACUUGAGCUUCAGUUGGAGUCUGUCAAAGCUCAGUGUUUGGCAUUAACAAAGCAAAACCACGUGCUGAGCAAGAAGGUUAAAGAGAUGAGCAACUAUUCACUACUGAAAGAAGGGAAGCUGGAGCUUGAGGCGCAAAAUAAACUACUUAAACAACAACUGGAAGACAUGAAAAGUGAAAACUUGAAUCUCCUAAACCGGAUAGCUCAGCCAUCUCCUGAACUGCUGAUUUUUCAGAAAGAAUUAAAGAAAGCAGAAAAUGCUAUCACCUUGGAGCAUAAGGAGUUUGAAACCCAGAAACAAGCUCUGCAGAAACAGCUGCAAAGUGAAAUUGAGCACUCUGCCCAGCUGAAGGCCCAGAUAUUAGAAUACGAUGCUUCUAUCAAGAGGUUAACUGUGCAGGUUACCGAUUUAAAAUUGCAACUGAAACAAACUCAGAUAGCUCUGGAGAACGAAGUGUACCGCAACACGAAGCAGUCUUUGUUAAAUCACUCCAUCAGUGGGUUAAUGAGUGGCAAGGAGGGACCUCGUGAUGAUGACAUAAGCGGGGAUUUCUUGAAAAAUCCUCUGAGACAAGAGGAACUGAUGGCAGGCCCAGUUAUACCACAGAUCCCCAGUUACCCAAAUGCCAGCGUGGAGAGUAGUUCCCCCGAUUCCGACCUUGAGCUUGUAGCCAAUACCACGGCAAGGGUGAGAGAGCUGGAGCAAGAGGCCGAGCGCUUGGAAAAAGCUUUCCAAAACUACCAUCGAAGGGUCAGUCGGUGCCCCGCCAAGAGCCCAUCGGCAGCCAGGAGCCUGCCCUCCCUGCACCUGCUGAGAGCUCUCAAGAACGUUCCUGCACGUGCUCCUGAGAAGUGUGAUUUUGCAGAGGACAGAGUUGCCUCUCAGCAGCCUCUGUUGAAUGUGCAUAGAGGGGACGAGAGUGAGGUAUCUGAGGUGCCAGGCAGCACAGCCUCAAGGUCACACAAGGACACGGCCUCCGGACGCCUCUCCUCCACUCCCCUCCCCAAAGCAAGGAGAAGCCUUGAUAGUGAGAUGUACCUGGAAGGGCUGGGCCAGUCCCCCGCCGCUGUCCCCGGUUCCGACAGAACGCCGCAGCCUUCACCUGCCGAGUCCAGGCACAGCCUUUCCGUGCGCUCGCUCUCCAGCCCUGCGGGGCAGAAGGCCGGUCUUUAUCAAAAACAAACAGAACUUCAAGACAAAAGUGAAUUUUCAAAUCCGGACAAGCUAGCUUUUAAGGAUCGUGAGGAAUUUGAACCACCUUUUGAAUACGCAGGGAACGUGCCGAGGCAGUUUGAGAUGGACGGCCUCCAUCCUGCUGGCAACAUGCCUCAUGUGGAAGAUGCUGCAGCCCCUGUGCCUGCCAGACCUGUCUCCUAUCAGUACCCAAGUGUAGAUCAGAAACCACUUGGAGAACAGGAGGAAGAAGAAACAAUACGGGAACAACAAGCAAAGGAACAAAGUCAGGCAGAAGAGCAGAGGCAGAGCGGGUGGCAAGAAGCUCUGGAAAGGGAACGGCAAGAAGUAGAAAAGCUGGACCAGGAAAGGGUGAGGAUGCCCAGUGAGUUCUCUGUCCUAGCUGCUUCGUGGCCCCCCUGCAGCAAGCGCCCUGCUCUCGGGAGGAGGCUAAUUGAAGAAUCAUUGAAGAUGGAAAUGGAAAAAGAAUUCGAAAUGAGCAUUCAGGAAACGAAAGACAAAUCUAAAUCUGUCUGUAGUGAAAAUCUUUUAGAGAAGUACAUGAAGAUCCUCCAACAGGGUCAAGACCAGGACACCACAGAUAAGAGUUCAAAAAAGGUGGUCAUAGAGAGCUCACACGUGGACACACUGCCAUCUAGUGACAAAGAUGAAAGCGUUGCAGAUGGCUGUAUCAUCUCGGAUGCCUGUGAAUACAGCUUUUGAAAUGUGAGCCACUCCCCUGCAGGCUGCCUGCUCCUGCCUCUGCAAGACCCCCUGAACGGAGUCUGGUUCAGUCUUCCCCAGCAAAAAGAUUACCACUCGCUGAAGUCUCAGAUGAUGGAUAGCAUUUUCGGCAAUGAAGUCUCUUUUAAUUAAGAGUCUGCCAAGAUCAAACCAGAUGAAAACGGUUCUCCUCCAUUUCAUCUUCAGCGCUUGUUUUCAUCACUGAAAUUGGUUAUCAAACAAACAAGCAAAAAUAACGGAAAAUGCAGAAUCCAAAUUGCAUCACCUACCAUGGAUGCCAAGACCACCACCUCGUACUUCCUGCAAUCUAGACAUGGGGUAAGUUUACACAGGGGAAACUGAACCAAGGUCGAGUCCCAGGCUUGUUGGCUGGAAGGCAAAUCUGUUACUAUAGUGACGGCAGGGAAGGGGGGGGCCUGUACUCACCAAGGCAAUGACGGUGGCGCCAGCUCCGGCACAGGCCACGAUGAACAGGUGGUAGGACAUGUAGAACUAGGAAAGAGCAGGGCACCAACGUUAGCAUUUGAUGUGGAAGGAAAUGGCCUCCACCGGUCCGGGCGCGGCUCCCUCUUGCUCCUCUAGGGCUGGGCACCUGCUGGAAUCGCCUGCGGCCCAGGCUGGACCCCAGACCAGUUACAUCGGAGUAGCUGGGGGCUGGGCCCGGCGUCAGGAUAGGACACUGCUCCAGCGCGCCUGCAGCCCGAUCCUCGAGAGACACGCCGAGCAGCCAGCAUCUCGGAAAUGCUUCUGGACUGAAGCUCCAAGUGGAAACUUGGAAAACCGCUGUCCUUCCGCACAGAGAGCGCGGCCCGUGGUGUCUCUCACUGUACCCAGCUCACCUCUGCAGGCACCUCGUCCGUUCGGCGGCUGCUCGUUCUGCCGUGAAUGCCUAGGGGAAGUCGGGUCUACAGUGCUGGACAGGAGGCGCCCUGGCCCCUUCUGUGGCCUGUCAAAACGAACCGACCUUAGCUGCCGAGGGUAAGGAUCCCACUCAUUAGAAUAUAUGUGUGAACAGGUUUUUUUCCAACAGCUGGCUUUGAUAGAGUACCACCUUCUGAUGACUUUUUAAAACAGACCUGGAUUUUAUGUUUUGUUUUUCUAUACUAAAGCAAGAUGGUCAUUUAAAAAAGACCUGAUUUAAAGAGGUGAAUGUGCAGAGUAGCUGGAUUAUACAGUGCAUGCCAUAUUCUGGAUGGAAAAUUGGAUGGUACAAAACCGAAAAGAAGUUGAAGAAAAAAUAUAUACUCUUUUUAGAGUGGAUAUCCACACAUCUUUUUUGAUUGAACUGCAUUAUAAAAAGUUUCUUUUACUGUAUACUGAACUAGCAGAUGUAAGAGUUUUGUGAAUGGCCCUUUUUAGGAACUAAGCGCCUAACUGAUGUUUCCAUCCAGAAAAUGGAGCACACUGAGGGAAAGAGUAUAAUAAACUCUUCCAAUAGAAUGGAUGAAACCCAGCUGGAUGCUUAGACGCCCAUGUAAUAAUUAAGGCCCAGACACACGCACAAGAGGAUACCAGUGAAUCGAGGAGAUGAAAAGGAAGUACCGUACUGCCGGAUGUCCACGCAGAUCUGCUCCACCCCGGCUGUCCCGUUGGUCUGGGGGGACUUGAUGACUUCACAGGUUGACCAUAUGUUGUAGAACAUAAACACGGGCACCGCAGAGAAACCAAACACGCCCAGCCAGGCCACUCCCAGCACAUAGGUGAGGAAGACGAACUAGGCCGAAAAGGAGAAAGAAUCGUCACCGACCAGGGCAAAGCACCUCCCCCGGGAGGCAUGAUGACGCGUUUCCCAGCCGAUACCGAACCUGUGGGACGCGGUCAGAGCACCACCUGGACCACAGCAGUGACGAAGGAAGUCUUGGAACUUUGCGGGUCCCUCUUUUAGCAAGGACAUGAGUGGCCACGAGAGGAUCUCCCUCGUCCAAGGUCACAGAGCUAGUUGGUGACAGGGCCUCCUCCUAAACACCAGUGCUGCGCUUACCAGGGGACAGUGGCCGGAGGCUUUCACAGGCCACUGAAUUGUAUAACUCCGUACCAGCUUCCCAAAUUCCCUUUCUUUUACGUAAGAGAUGGGCCGGAGAACAGCCAUUGCUACAGGAAGCCCUUUCUCCAAAGGAACUUGGCUAGUUUCAUGAGCCUGUGAAAUUACUAAAAAGCAUUAGAUGCUUGCACCUUUACUACGUUUACACUAGCCGUGAACACAAGCUUAGUGCACAGCGGACCCGAUACAAUGCUCAUUUCCCUCUAGUUUUGUUCUGUUGUGUUUCUCAGCUUUAAGAUCCACAGCAGCCGUGGCCGCGGGAAGGGGCUGCGCAUCGUGCUGGCCCACGUGCUGCCGUGGGCGAUUUCACCAGGAACAGGAUCGAAUUGCUUUCCUUUCUUCCUGGCCUGCUUGGACUAGCGCUUUUCAGAGAGCUUUGAAAAGGCUGUUUCAAAAAUGCCGUGGGUCUGAUAUUUUCAGAACGCGCACCCACCCGGCACCCCAACGCCGUGCAGCCUCCUCGGCUCGCCCCCUCAACCCCCGAACAGCAAACCCCGGAGCCCGCCUCGCCCGCGGGCUUCGCCUCUGUCCCCCCUUCUCCGCUCUCACCCACCACGAGUCUCGCGAUCGAUCCCCUCUUGCUCACCUCUCCUCCCUCGCUCUGCCCUGUGCACGGUCCUGUCACAGCCCGCCUGUCUUUGGCUUUCAUGCCCAGCGCGGCAGCCGAGGCCUCUCCUGCUCUGGCCCCGGUCUGCUCUCCCAGCAGCAUCCUUUCGCUCCUCUGGGCUCUAGCCUCCCCUGCCAGCCAGGCCGCGGCCCCUCUUCUCCGGGCUGCUCUGCUCAGGCUGGGUCCUCCUCCUCCACGCCGGGAGCCGCGGGGCCCCGGUGAUUCUGCCCGCCGCCCUCCCUGGGCCCCCCGGCCCUGGGCACACAGCUCUGCUGCCGCUCGCGGGACCUGAGGGCCGGACAGAGAAGCAGCAGGGGCGGCGCCCGGCAGCAGCGGGCCUCGGGCCUGCCAGGAGCAGCUGCCAGGGACGCGGCCAGCCUUAACCUCAAUGCGCACGCGUCCCGGCCCCUUCAUACCCGGGCUCCCAUCCGGGCACAAAGACGUUAACUACACACUCUCUGUGCCUCCCUUAAGGAGGACUUUUAGGAACACUGGGCGCUCCGUGUCUUUUAAGACAGGCUCUGCGUCCGUACCUCGUGACAGCAGAGAGCUCGGUCGGUGCCCCCCGGGAGCCGCGGCCCCGCAGCGAGGGUGCCUCUCCUCCUCCUCCUCCUCCUCCUCCUCCUCCUCCUUCCGUGCCUUCCUCAGCCAGCCUGGGCGUUCCGCCUCCGUGUGAGCGCGUCUCCCUCAACUCCCCAACUGUUUUCGUCACAUCUGACCACUUGCUCAAACGCCAGCCCCCUGCUCGGCCCAGGCGCUUACGAGCUCCACUUCAACGCGCCCCCAAAUCAAACUCCAUAAGCGCCCCUUUCCCACCUCUCCCUCCAGCCCUGACUUUCCUUCUGUGAAACGGCACUUUCUAACCCUGCCUCUUAAUGAGCCCCUUUUAAGCUCUGUCCUCCUCUAGGCCAGAGGUCAGCAAACGUUGCCCGCAAAAGGCCGGAGAGGGGACGGGUCAGGCUCCGCAGGCCACGUGCGGUCACAGACACUCCUCAGCGCUGCUGUUACAGCGUGACCGCAGCCGCCGUGUCAACGAAGGGGUGUGGCUGGCUGCCAGAAACUCUAUUAUGGACAUCAAACCUGGAAUUGCGGGGAAUUGCGUGUGUCCUAAGGUAUUAUAUUCCUUUGGUUUUUUUCCCCAGCUCAUAGGUGGAUAAAAAGAGGUGGCGGGCCGGCUCUGGAGCCUGCUUAACCCCCCUCUUUAGGCUCUAAACUUCUGGAGGACAGUCCCCAGCGAGGUGCUCAUUAGUAGGAAACAUGCUUGGUCACCACUGCCAGAGGGACUGUGACCAUUCAUCCUAGUAUGGGCGAGUCUGCGUGGCCACAAUCCAUAUUCAAAGAUAAAUGAAGGAGAGCGGUGAGACGAUAGGGAAACUAUCUCCUUUCAGAGUGGGGACUUUAUAUUUGAAAAAUCUUCAAUACCCUUGUUAUCUGGACGUUGAUAAGAGAAAUGCUUGAUUUCAUCCUACCAGCCAUAGAUUUUAAUGUCUCCUCAACAUGUUGAGGGUUUUUUCAUAUUCCUGACUCUAGGUUGGAACGAACGCUCCUUGUGUCAUGGACUCCGCACGUACUCUCAGUUAGCUUUUACCAAACAAAGAAACACACGGAGGUGUGGCUCUGGCUGGGUAGCAGUCAUCAGAGAUUCGUACUCACCAUCCCACUGAUGCACCGGCCGCAGGCGGUUGUUUUAAACUCCCCGUGCAGCUCUUUCACUGCGCUCGUGGUGUAGAAGCCUUCUGCCAACAGAAUGAUCCCGUACAAGAAGAAAAAGGACGCAAUUCCAUAGAUGACAUACUGCAUCAGUUGUAUUCUAGGAAAAGAAGAAGGUCCAAGUGGUUAACAGACGUUUUUGGCCUCUGGAGGGGGGCCGUGAGGGUGACAUCACUUGCCCUGCUGAUGGCUUCGGUGGGCUCAUGGGGCGUUGCAGGCAGGCAUCCGUGCCCAGCCCACCACAAGCUGAGCCUUUCUUCCAAGCCAACAGCGAUGCAGCUGACAACCUUUGGCCGCCCACUGGAACCACCUGGUGAGCUUUACAGACACCAGCUAACUGCAUCCUCUCCCCAGAGGUCAUGACUUAAUUAGCCUGGGGUGAGACAUGGACAUGGGGAUGUUUUUAAAAGACUGCUGGAAGUUUGAGAGCCACUCCUCAAGAUCACCAGCUAAUUAAACUAACACACCUUCCCCAGGCUCAGUCAUGGUGACCAGCUGUUUUCAUGAAGACCAACCUCCCUGAAAUGGACUGAUGAAACUGCCUCAGAUGGGACCCAGCACACAAUACAGUUCAAGUUCACUAGCAGAAGAAGUUUGCAGACCCCUAUCUGGAAGCGCUGACGUUCAGAGUGUGGCCCCAGGACCGGGAGCAUCAGCGUCGCCUAUGAACACGAACCAACGAAUCAACAUGAAGUGACCUGUAACGCACUUCGAAGCAGCAGCUAGCACGGGUGCCCCGAAGGUGCAGCUCAGCUCGCAUCUGAACAAGGCAAGCUCUGCCCCAUAAUCGUGCUAUUAUCAUCACCUUGGGUACUGGGGUCUCUUAAAGGCCUGACUGAAUGGAAGCUGUCAGUUAAGCAGGGUAACAGAUACGGGUGAGGAUGAGAGCGCUGGGAGGGAGGGCGCAGCUGUCCAUUCACCCACUCAUUCCAUUUCAUUCCAUUAGUGAACAUUCAAUGCUCACCGAGGUGUCUCUGAGGCCCCAGGUACUGGGCUGGACGCUGGGGACUCGAUGGCGAGCUACGACAGGCAUGGUCUACACGCUAAUGGAGUUUAUAUCCUGUGGGGGAAACAGACACUGUCCAAGUGGUUUUGGGCUCAGAAGUGCUAGGAGAGGAAACCAUGAGGACUUACUUAGGCUUCUGGGCAGUGACCAGGAACAGCCUCCGCAGCUUAGAUCUGAAGGAUGGAUUGGAGCUGAUUAGGUGAAAGGAGAGAGGGCUGGGUUACGGAGGGUGUUCCGGGAAACAGGAACAGUGCGAACAAAAGCUCUAUGGCGGAAAAGAGCAGGGCGCUUUCCCGGGCAUAGAAGAUGCCAGAACAGAGAGAGUACACGGUGAGGGUGGGGCAAGGAAGGCAGGAGAGGGUCUAUUGGAGCUAGAAGCACUGAGGGCUUUCCAGGCCUCCUGAAGGAUUCUGGACUUUAUCCGCAGCAUCAUGUGAAGCCACUGAACAUUUUUAACCCCAGGGAACAGACUGGGGUUGUAGAAGAUCCUCCUGGCGGAUGUGACAGGAACAAAGUGGCCGUGGAGAUGGGGAGGAGCUUGCUGCGGCGGUUCAGGCUAAAGAGGGCAGGCGCUUGGACCAGGGCAAAAGCAGCGGAAGUGGAAGAGAGGGAUGGGUCUGAGGGAGGUUUGAGAUGUCAAGUGGGCACAACUUGGUCUGGACUCAAAGGAGGGGUUGGGGAUGGCUGGUGAGUACCAAGGAUGACUCCUCCAUUACUGCACAUGGAACCUGAUGGAUGUUGUGUUGUUCCCUGAGCUGGGCUUGACCCAGGAGGGCUAGGCUUUGAGGACAAAGAUGUUGAGUUCAGUUUUAGACAUGCUGAGUUUGAGGUGACCGGAUGCCAUCUUAAGGGGGGCGCUUCCGGUAGGCGAUCGGAUAUGUGGGUCUGUAGCUCAGAAGAGCUGAUGCUGGAUGCUGUCAGCUUCUGGACCGCAGUGAACACUUUCAGAGGUCAAGGAAAGACAUGAGGGGACCAUUUAGCAGCUGCAAGUACUUUAAAGCCUUUGCUUUGCCAAGUGUGGUCCUUGGACAAGCUGCCUCUGAGGUUCAGCAGGGAGCUUGGGGGAAAUGCGGAAUCUUGGACCCCACCCCAGACCAACCAAGUCAGAAUCUGCAUCUGAACAAGCCCGCAGUUGUGUGCGUGAAAGUUUGAGAAGCCCAGGCCAGGCACCAGUCCCAGGUGCACCAUCCUGAGUCCCUUUGAAGCGCCUGCUUUUGUGCCAGGUGUGUUUGGUGUUUUCUCCUGGAGAGGUGGCCUGCUGGGCUUGGCCGUAACUCCAGCCACUGGCAAAUCAAACGGCAAGUUCCAGGGGCCGCAACGAAGAAAAACACAAUGUUCCAAGCUGUUCAGCCAUCUUGAAAAGAGUGCAACUAGAGUGUUUUUUCUGAGCCAAGAAAGCACUGUUAACCUCCAAUUUUUCACAUCAAAGAUGCUUUAGUGCCUUACCGCAGACCUAUCACACCCCAGCCCCAUCCAGACAAAGGUCCUGGAUCUGUGCUUCGGGCUGUCCCCAGCAUGAGAAGUCACAGGCCAGGCUGAUGUUUUUAAAGAGAGAGGUGGUGCCGAGUAUCAGCAGAGCGCCACGCUGUGAAAUGCUAUGCCAGCUACGGAAGAUCGAUGCUUUUCUUGGAUAUGCCUAUAAAUCCACAGACUGAGCUUUCCCGAGCUUCAAACCAGCGAUGACAACGUUGGUGAACAUAAACCAGAAAACGCAAGGAAAGCAUUUUUUGGAUGCCUGCGAACUACUUGUGGGGGAAAAAAAAAAAAAUCACCGCUAGGCCUUCUAGCACAUUUUACUAAUAUUCUCAGUACCUCUCACCAGCGCUGCCUCCCGCCACCCCCCAGCAACUCUGUUAGGUUAAUAAAGUCUUCAGCCUUCAUUUGGCCGGUCUCUGAGGCUAAGGAGAAUUUUCGGUUUUGAUUUGCACUAAAACUCCAGUGUGCGUUAGCCUAAUAAGAUAGUUUAAAUAUAAACCACACAGUAGGGAGAAAAAACAGGCCUCGACGCCUCUUCCUCUCAAUGGCCAUUUUGUCUCUGGCAUCACUAGAACCUUCUGUGCAGAACAACAGAAUAAAACAUGUUUUGUCCUCGGGCUUGCGGAUGGCUGUUGCCAUGGCUGUGAGUUCAUAACGGCCCGGUGAUUUGCCCCAAGUUGUCUGUGAUCCUGGCUGCAGCUUUAAUGCUGGCUCAGAAGGGCGACCGGCAGCAACAAGGGCUCAGAUUCUUCCCCAGGGAAUGAAUCUCUCCCUCUCUCUCUCUCUCUCUCUCUCUCUCUCUCUCUCUCUCACACACACACACACACACACACAGCCCUCUACGCAUGGCCUUCCUUGCUGCUUUACUGAUUCCUAACGAUCCACCAAAUUCAAAAAGAGAAGAAGUAAUCAACGUUUGCAACUUCCAAACAACCAGCAGGAAAACGGAGGCAGAGAGAAUCCUUACUUAAGAGACAUAAAAGCGGAUGUCAGGGGACCAAGGCCCCCCUGACUCGGAGUUGGCUCAAGCAGCGGUUCUCAACAGGGGGCGACGGUGCCCCCCCAGGGGACAUCAAGCAACGUCUGGAGAUAUUUUGGGUUGUCACGACUGGCGGAGGGGGCGCUACCGGCUCUGGUGGGUGGAGUCCAGAGAUGCCACUCAGCAUCCUACCGGGCACAGGACAGCCCCUCAACAGCUAUACAACCCCAAUGUCAACAGCGCGGAGGCAGAGAAUUCUUGAGACAGCACAAACGCAUAUGCUCUGCAAUGUUCACAUCGCUGGUUUCCAACUGGGGACGAUUUUGCCCUCCAGGGGGCGUGUGGAGACAUUUCAAGUCAUCGCAACGGGGCGGGCGCUACUGGCAGGUAGUGGGUAGAAGCCAGGGGCGCUGCUAAACAUCCCGCAGUGUACAGGACGGUCCCACCCCAAACACCACAAACAGCACAGCGACACAAAGAACGAUGAGAAACCUCGCUCUCAGGCUAUCGUGUACAAUCCCGGUCUGAGACACCAGUGUGACUGCCAAAUGCUACAAUUAAAAAAAAAAAAAAAAAAAGAGCUUAAAAUAAACCUUACUUUGCUUACAAACUACUACAGAGCAGAAGUUCUCAAGUUUUGCUGCCCAAUAGCAUUAUCUGGAGUGCCCUGGAAAGCCCUGAUGUCCACACUUCACUCCAGACCAAUGAAUCAGAAUUUCUUGGGGUGGGACUCAAGAACCAGUGGUUUUCCUUAAAGAAAAAGCUCCCCAGGUGACUUCAAGCUGGAGAACAAGUGUUCUAGUGCAGGCGUCAGCCAACUGUGGCCCAUGGGCCAGACUCAGCUCUCCAUGUGGCCUGCGAACACAGAGCGCUUUUUUAUAUUUCGAAAUGAUUUUUUAAAAAACCAAAACUCGAAGAAUAAUAAUACUUCGUGACACAAGUAUAUGGAAUUCAAAUUUCUGUGUCCAUAAAUAAAGUUUUACUGGAACACAGCCGAACUCAUUCCUUUGUGUACUGUGUGUGGCUAUUUUCAAGCUGCAAAGGCAGAGUUGAGUAGUUGCCAGAUAUUUACCAUCUGGCCUUUUACAGGAAAAGUUUGCAGCUCCCCCUUCAAGAGCACUGGUUCUCCAACUUUCAUGUGCAUAUAAAUUCCCUGGAGAUCCCGUUAAAAUGCAGAUUCUGUUUAGGCAGGUCUGGGCAGGAGACUGUGCCUCUGCAUUUCUCCCCUGCUCCCAGGGGACCCUAUUCUGCAGGUCCAUCGGCCGGUCGCUGAAGCACAGGGGCAGAAAAGAGGGGCUCUCCAAGAGGGGUCUGUGCAGCCCUGGGAGACCCUGAGACUCAUUCGGGAGGUCUGGGAGGCCAAAACUGUCUUUAUAAUAGCACUAGACGAUAUUGACUUUUUUCACUGUGUUGACGUUUGCACAGUAAAACUGCGGAUGGCUUAGUGCGAAUCAGGCAGUGGCACCAAAGUGUAUUAAUCAGCAGUGCAUUGCUCACCACCACACACUCAUAGGAAAAAAACCAAAAGGGACAGUUUCACUUAAAAAUGUCCUCGAUGCAGUAAAAAAUUAUCAACUUUAAUAAAUCUAAACCCCCGUUUUGAAGAUUCUGUGCAAUGAAAAGAGAAGGACACAUACAGGACUUCUGCUGCAUACCAGAGCACAACGAAAAAGUUCACGUGCGACUGAGUUACGAGCUGAACUAGCACCUUGUUUUUUGGUGGACCACCAUUUUUUCUUUAAAGAACGAGUAACAAGCUGUAGUUAUUAAGACUUGGGAAGUCCCUGGUGGUGCAGUGGUUAAGACUCCGAGCUCCCAAUGCAGGGGGCUGGGGUUCGAUCCCUGGUCAAGGAACUAGAUCCCACCUGCAUGCCACAACUAAGAGUUUGCAUGUCAUAACUAAGGAGCCCGCCUGCCACAACUAAGACCCGGUGCAACCAAAUAAAACAAACAAAUAAAUAAAUAAAAUAUUUUAAAAAAUACUUGGGAAGACAGACAGAUGGCCAACAGGCAUAUGAAAAGAUGCUCAACAUCACUAAUCAACAGGGAAAUGUAAAUCAAAACCACAAUGAGAUAUCACCUUGCACCUGCCAGAAUGGCUAUUAUCCAAAAGACAACAAAUAACAAGUGUUGGCUUUAAAGAUGUGGAGAAAAGGGAACCCUUGUGUACCGUUGGUGGGAAUGUAAAUUGGUACAGCCAUUAUGGAAAACACAGUUUUCAUGUUCUCCGUAUAAACACCCAGAAGUAAAACAGCUUUGGUCAUACUGGUAAUUCUACUCUUAAUUUUUGGAGGAAUCUCCACACUAAUUUGAAAAGAUAUAUGCACCUUCUGUGUUCACUGCAGCAUUAUUUGUAAUAGCCAAGACAUGGAAACAACCUAAGUGCCCACUGAUGGAUGAAUGGAUAAAGAUGAUAUAAGAAUUACCAUAUGAUGCAGCGAUCCCACUCCUAGGCAUAUAUCUGGAGAAAACUGUAAUUUGAAAAGAUACAUGCACCCCAGUGUCCACUGAAGCACUAUUUACGUUACCCAAGACAUGGAAGCCACCUAAAUGUCCAUCAACAGACGAAUGGAAAAAGGAGGUGUGGUACAUAUAUACAAUGGAAUAUUACUCAGCCACAAAAAAGAAUGAAAUAAUGCCAUCUGCAGCAACAUGGAUGGACCUAGAGAUGAUCAUACUAAGUGAAGUAAGACAUGGGUUCGAGCCCUGGUCCGGGAAGAUCCCACAUGCCGCGGAGCAACUAAGCCCGUGCGCCACAACUACUGAGCCUGUGCUCUAGAGCCCGCGAGCCACAACUACUGAGUCCGUGUGCCACAACUACUGAAGCCCACAUGCCUAGAGCCCGUGCUCCACAACAAGAGAAGCCACCGCAAUGAGAAGCCCGUGCACCGCAACGAAGAGUAGCCCCCGCCUGCCGCAACUAGAGAAAACCCACGCACAGCACCGAAGACCCAAUGCAGCUAAAAAUAAAUAAAAUAAAAUAAAAUAGAUAACUAAUAAGGACCUACUGUAUAGUACAGGGAACUCUACUCAAUAUUCUGUAAUGACCUAUAUGGGAAAAGAAUCUGAAAAAGAAUGAAUACAUGUAUAUGUA